rnacentral:ncRNA from 2 species
GGUCACGAGUGCCAGCGCGAAGCCCCGGCUUGCUGGCCGGCAACCCUCCUCCGCGGUGGGGUGCCCCGGGUGAUGACCGGGCCGCCGCGACACCCGCGGGCGGCAAGCGCGGAUC